rnacentral:rRNA from 1 species
UUAAGCGACUAAGCGUACACGGUGGAUGCCCUGGCAGUCAGAGGCGAUGAAGGACGUGCUAAUCUGCGAAAAGCGUCGGUAAGGUGAUAUGAACCGUUAUAACCGGCGAUGUCCGAAUGGGGAAACCCAGUGCAAUUCGUUGCACUAUCGUUAACUGAAUACAUAGGUUAGCGAGGCGAACCGGGGGAACUGAAACAUCUAAGUACCCCGAGGAAAAGAAAUCAACCGAGAUUCCCCCAGUAGCGGCGAGCGAACGGGGAGCAGCCCAGAGUCUGAAUCAGCUUGUGUGUUAGUGGAACGGUCUGGAAAGUCCGACGGUACAGGGUGAUAGUCCCGUACACCAAAAUGCACAGGUUGUGAACUCGAAGAGUAGGGCGGGACACGUGGUAUCCUGUCUGAAUAUGGGGGGACCAUCCUCCAAGGCUAAAUACUCCUGACUGACCGAUAGUGAACCAGUACCGUGAGGGAAAGGCGAAAAGAACCCCGGCGAGGGGAGUGAAAAAGAACCUGAAACCGUGUACGUACAAGCAGUGGGAGCACCUUCGGGUGUGACUGCGUACCUUUUGUAUAAUGGGUCAGCGACUUAUAUUCUGUAGCAAGGUUAACCGUAUAGGGGAGCCGCAGGGAAACCGAGUCUUAACUGGGCGUUAAGUUGCAGGGUAUAGACCCGAAACCCGGUGAUCUAGCCAUGGGCAGGUUGAAGGUUGGGUAACACUAACUGGAGGACCGAACCGACUAAUGUUGAAAAAUUAGCGGAUGACUUGUGGCUGGGGGUGAAAGGCCAAUCAAACCGGGAGAUAGCUGGUUCUCCCCGAAAGCUAUUUAGGUAGCGCCUCGUGAACUCAUCUUCGGGGGUAGAGCACUGUUUCGGCUAGGGGUCAUCCCGACUUACCAACCCGAUGCAAACUACGAAUACCGAAGAAUGUUAUCACGGGAGACACACGGCGGGUGCUAACGUCCGUCGUGAAGAGGGAAACAACCCAGACCGCCAGCUAAGGUCCCAAAGUCAUGGUUAAGUGGGAAACGAUGUGGGAAGGCACAGACAGCCAGGAUGUUGGCUUAGAAGCAGCCAUCAUUUAAAGAAAGCGUAAUAGCUCACUGGUCGAGUCGGCCUGCGCGGAAGAUGUAACGGGGCUAAACCAUGCACCGAAGCUGCGGCAGCGACACUAUGUGUUGUUGGGUAGGGGAGCGUUCUGUAAGCCUGCGAAGGUGACCUGUGAGGGUUGCUGGAGGUAUCAGAAGUGCGAAUGCUGACAUAAGUAACGAUAAAGCGGGUGAAAAGCCCGCUCGCCGGAAGACCAAGGGUUCCUGUCCAACGUUAAUCGGGGCAGGGUGAGUCGACCCCUAAGGCGAGGCCGAAAGGCGUAGUCGAUGGGAAACAGGUUAAUAUUCCUGUACUUGGUGUUACUGCGAAGGGGGGACGGAGAAGGCUAUGUUAGCCGGGCGACGGUUGUCCCGGUUUAAGCAUGUAGGCUGGUUGUCCAGGCAAAUCCGGAUAAUCAAGGCUGAGGUGUGAUGACGAGGCACUACGGUGCUGAAGUAACAAAUGCCCUGCUUCCAGGAAAAGCCUCUAAGCAUCAGGUAACAUUAAAUCGUACCCCAAACCGACACAGGUGGUCAGGUAGAGAAUACCAAGGCGCUUGAGAGAACUCGGGUGAAGGAACUAGGCAAAAUGGUGCCGUAACUUCGGGAGAAGGCACGCUGGUGUGUAGGUGAAGCCCCUGCGGGUGGAGCUGAGACCAGUCGAAGAUACCAGCUGGCUGCAACUGUUUAUUAAAAACACAGCACUGUGCAAACACGAAAGUGGACGUAUACGGUGUGACGCCUGCCCGGUGCCGGAAGGUUAAUUGAUGGGGUUAUCCGUAAGGAGAAGCUCUUGAUCGAAGCCCCGGUAAACGGCGGCCGUAACUAUAACGGUCCUAAGGUAGCGAAAUUCCUUGUCGGGUAAGUUCCGACCUGCACGAAUGGCGUAAUGAUGGCCAGGCUGUCUCCACCCGAGACUCAGUGAAAUUGAACUCGCUGUGAAGAUGCAGUGUACCCGCGGCAAGACGGAAAGACCCCGUGAACCUUUACUAUAGCUUGACACUGAACAUUGAGCCUUGAUGUGUAGGAUAGGUGGGAGGCUUUGAAGCGUGGACGCCAGUCUGCGUGGAGCCAACCUUGAAAUACCACCCUUUAAUGUUUGAUGUUCUAACGUUGGCCCCUUACCGGGGUUGCGGACAGUGUCUGGUGGGUAGUUUGACUGGGGCGGUCUCCUCCCAAAGCGUAACGGAGGAGCACGAAGGUUAGCUAAUCCUGGUCGGACAUCAGGAGGUUAGUGCAAUGGCAUAAGCUAGCUUGACUGCGAGCGUGACGGCGCGAGCAGGUGCGAAAGCAGGUCAUAGUGAUCCGGUGGUUCUGAAUGGAAGGGCCAUCGCUCAACGGAUAAAAGGUACUCCGGGGAUAACAGGCUGAUACCGCCCAAGAGUUCAUAUCGACGGCGGUGUUUGGCACCUCGAUGUCGGCUCAUCACAUCCUGGGGCUGAAGUAGGUCCCAAGGGUAUGGCUGUUCGCCAUUUAAAGUGGUACGCGAGCUGGGUUUAGAACGUCGUGAGACAGUUCGGUCCCUAUCUGCCGUGGGCGCUGGAGAAUUGAGGGGGGCUGCUCCUAGUACGAGAGGACCGGAGUGGACGCAUCACUGGUGUUCGGGUUGUCAUGCCAAUGGCACUGCCCGGUAGCUAAAUGCGGAAGAGAUAAGUGCUGAAAGCAUCUAAGCACGAAACUUGCCCCGAGAUGAGUUCUCCCUGAGACUUUAAGUCUCCUGAAGGAACGUUGAAGACGACGACGUUGAUAGGCCGGGUGUGUAAGCGCAGCGAUGCGUUGAGCUAACCGGUACUAAUGAACCGUGAGGCUUAACCUU